ensembl:snRNA U6 U6 spliceosomal RNA
CUGCUUCACACUCACUUUGGAAGCACACAAACUAAAAUUGGGAUACUACCAAGAUUAGCAUGGUCCCCACACAAGAAUGACACACAAAUAGGUGAAGCAUCCCAUAUUAAG